GGGCCCGCACAAGCGGAGGAACAUGUGGUUUAAUUCGAUGAUACGCGAGGAACCUUACCCGGGCUUGAAAUAUGUCUGACCGGGGUGGAAACACCCUUUCUAGCAAUAGCAGAUAUGUAGGUGCUGCAUGGUUGUCGUCAGCUCGUGCCGUGAGGUGUCGGCUUAAGUGCCAUAACGAGCGCAACCCUUAUCUUUAGUUACUAACAGGUCAUGCUGAGGACUCUGAAGAGACUGCCGUCGUAAGAUGUGAGGAAGGUGGGGAUGACGUCAAAUCAGCACGGCCCUUACGUCCGGGGCUACACACGUGUUACAAUGGGGGGUACAGCGAGUUGCUUACUGGUGACAGUUGGCUAAUCUUGAAACCUCUCUCAGUUCGGAUCGAAGUCUGCAACCCGACUUCGUGAAGCUGGAUUCGCUAGUAAUCGCGCAUCAGCCACGGCG
rnacentral:rRNA from 1 species